rnacentral:tRNA from 2 species
UGCGGGGUGGAGCAGUGGUAGCUCGUCAGGCUCAUAACCUGAAGGCCGUUGGUUCGAUUCCAGCCCCCGCUACCA